UUUUGCCCAUGUAAUUGGAGUAAGGUGGGUGAAUUGAUGUAUGUGAUUAGGCAUUCCAUCAAAUGACAGGAAAAUUUUUAUUGGCAUGCUUUAUAGAAUUAUCUUUGGAAAAGUGUUUACAAAGUGAGAGACUAAAAAAUGUUGUGAUAGAAGUUGAUUUCAUUUUAGAAAUAAAGUGGGAUGGAGUGAUGAGGGUUGUGUAGGAAAAUAAUCCACUGCUCUUUGCAAAUCUAAAGCUGAGUAAUUUUCUUUGAAGGCUCUUUGAUUUCUUUCUUUCCAAGCACGCCAAAAAAUGACAAGAGGAUGACAGUCAAAGCCUUUUGCUUCUCCUUGGUGGCUCUGAUGCCUUUACAAGACCAAAUCCCCCCUCCCACGGAAUUUGCAGUAACCUAUUGAUAUCUAUUCAAGGACAGAAGCCAUGUUCCACAAAUUUCUUGUCUAGGGGCAGUGGAGAACAAUGUGGUUGACUGAUUCUGCAUCUACCAUACAAAGAAAUCAUCUCUUUGUAACUGUAAGCCCCCUUAUUUCCAUGUAUAGACUCCCAAAUUGAAAAAGGCAACCAAAGGGGCUGCUGCCCUCCAAAUAAGAAUCCAAGGAUAGUUGUUGCAAUUUAUCCCUAUCAGAGAGAGCUUCUUGUAGAAAGAUCUAACAGUGAAAACACCAUUUCUGUCCAAAGCACAUUUUGGUUUGUAGGGGAUGUUUUGGUACCAGAAAUUAUAGAGAUGUAUGGAAGUCAAAUGGUGCAUGAAGUUCCCAAUCUUUCACAUUCCUAGUAAAAGGAAUAUUCCAAAAAAAUCCAUUGAUCAGUGAUUUGGAGAUGAUGACUGAUGAGGGUAUCUUUGUCACAAGAAAAACUGUAAAUGGAAGGAAAGGCAGCUCUAAAUUUACCGUUGUCUUGCCAUAUGUCAUUCUAGAAGUAAACAUUGGCCCCAUUCCCCACUUGAAAACUCACAUAUUGGAAAAAAAGGAUUCAAUCCUUCCCUAAUGAAUUUCCAAACUCUUACUUCAUAGGGUCCCCUACUAUUGUGUGUUAUCCAAGCGUUUUGCAUUAGUUCAUAUUUAGAAGCUAUGGUUUCCCACCAAAAGUGGUCUUUCUCCUUCAUAUACCUCCACAACCAUUUCCCAAGAGGACUUUAUUUGAUGUGAGGAGGGAUUUCAGCCCCAAACCUCCUGAACAUAUGGCUUGUUUAACCACUUCCCAUAUAAUAAGGUGAUAUUUAAACCCUUUACUUACCCAUGUUUUUCCACUUGUCUCUACCCUUGCCAUGGUACAUAAUUUGGUGUGAUGUGUUGCACUACAUCAUGGCUAGUUGCAAGUAUGGCAUGCCGACCCUUGGAUGGAAAACUAUUGUUGAAGAUAGUGGUAGCAACUUAGUUUGAGAUUUGCAUUUUGGCCUGGAAAUUUCUUGUUUGCAAGAUGCGGGAAUUACAAGUUAGACGAGAAAUCAUUAAAGAAAGGUGGAGGAAGUUGAGGAAUGGCAACGGUGGAAGUAUUUGGGACCUGGUAAAACUGUUUGGAUGACCUUUCAGCUAGAAUUGAACCAUGACUUCAAGUAUGUUGACUGGGGAAAGAAGGUCGGGUUCGGGUUUUGUAAGAAGAAGUGGAAUGACUGUUCUAGGGAAGGUUGCUGUUCCAAAACCUUUAAAUUUACCCAGCCAAAGGUCAGAAAAUCAUGGCCUGGACCCAAAUGUGGAAAUUGUUCCCAAGGGAACUCUUAGCUGGGGCAGUCGUACGUCUUCUUCUUCUGCAUCAAAUGCAUGGGGUUCCUCAACACUGUCUCCAAGUACUGAUGGUGGUCCUGGUUCACCAAGUCGUCUCAGUGGCCGCCCUUCAUCUGGUGGAAGUGGCACUCGACCAUCAACUGCUGGUAGUGAUAGAGCCCAUGAAUCUAGCGCCAAUGCUUGGGGUCCAAAUUCUAGGCCAUCAUCAGCUUCUGGGGCAUUAACAUCAAAUCAGGCAUCAAUAACAUCACUGCGUCCUCGUAGUGCAGAGCCAAGACCGGGUAGCUCACAGUUAUCACGGUUUGCUGAACCCUCGUCUGAAAACUCAGUUGCAUGGGGUGGAGCUGGGACUGCAGAAAAAUUGGGAGUGACAUCCUCCAAGAAUGAUGGCUUUUCUCUGAUUUCUGGAGAUUUUCCAACACUCGGUUCGGAGAAAAACAAUUCUGGAAAGAGCACGGAAUCACAAGACCAUGGUCCUCACAGGCGUCCUGGAUCAUCUUCUGGUGUGGUGGCACCAGUGAAAGAGAGUACUGUGACUUCUUCAGGUGAUGUCUCUGUAAAUGCAAAUGUCAAGGGUGGAGUUGUGAAUAGUUGGAGAAGAGAGAGUUCUCCAUAUGUUGAAGAUGGAGGGGCCCAGCCUGGUGUGGAGAAGUGGCAGAGUGAUCCUCAACCAUUCCCAAAUGCCAGCAUUCCCCCUCAGCAUUUUGAUCCUUGGCAUGGUGCUCCAAUGGCUGGUUCUCCUGGUGGUGUUUGGUUUAGAGGUCCUCCAUAUGGAGCCCCAGUCCCUCCUGGUGGUUUUCCUAUGGAACCAUUUCCUUACUAUCGCCCUCAGGUUCCUGCUGCUCUUGCCAACACGCAGCCAACUCCCCCACCAGUAGCUGGACCAAGAGGACACCACCCAAAGAAUGGAGAUUUGUACAGACCUCAUAUGCCUGAUGCUUUUAUCCGCCCAAGUGUACCAAUUAGGCCUGGAUUUUUCCAUGGGCCAGUGACCUAUGAGGGUUAUUAUGCUCCUCCGAUGGGCUAUUGCAAUCCCAAUGAACGUGAUAUUCCUUUUAUGGGAAUGGCUGCUGGUCCCUCUGUUUAUAACAGGUAUUCAAGCCAAAAUGCUCCUGAUCCCAGCAAUUCACAUGCCCAUUUUAGUGGAUAUGGUUCGACUAGCAAAGCAUUGGCUUCAGAACAAGUGGAAUCCACUCAUCCUCGCGAUACUCGAGGACCAAACAAGGUUCUACUGAAACAAAACAAUGGUUGGAAUGGGAAAGAUGAAGAACAGAAGUGGGAGCAUGCCCCUGCAACCAAUGACCCACAUCCUGAAAAGGGUAACCAUGCAAGAGCAUCAUCAUGGGAGAAUGACUGGGGAGCAGAUUACCAGAAUGAUGAAGAUAUGGAGUCGAGAAGAAUUCUCAUGGGUGAAGAAUCGUCUUCUCAUUCUGGAAAACAAGGAGGUUGUUCUUCACGCCCUAGCAAGCAAAACUUAUCUGAAAAUAUGGGUGAUGCAAAGGCUGUUGAUAGGAGUUUGACAAAAAAGUUGGAAAAUGCCUCCUCUGCUUCUUCAGAUUCCACCUUAAUACAGAAGAUAGAGGGUUUAAAUGCAAAAGCCCGGGUUUCUGAUGGAUGGCAUGAUGUGUCAUCUGUUUCUAACAGGGAGGAUCACAAGAAGAGAUUAAAUAGUGGUAACACCAAUGCCAACAUUUCUAUGAAUGAAGCUAGUACUGAUGCUGCAUUUGAAAGAACUCAUGCUAGUGGAGUUGCUAUCCCUGCCUCACAUGAUGUUGGUGCUGAUGCUGGGGAUCUAAGCCUUGAAGCUACAGCUGCUGGAACAACUGUAUCCAGGAGAGGUAAUUAUGGCUUGCAAGCUGUGGUUGACAAUCGUGGUAAAGCGAAGUUCAGCCCUCAGGAGACAGAUGGGUGGCGCAAGAAACCCCUUGUUGCAGAUUCAUCAAAUGUGGUUUCGGUGACGAACUUUGAAACUUCUUCUAAUCCUCAUAUUCAAGAUCGCCCUGCAUCAACAGAGUCUAUUGAAAGGUCUGGAUCAUAUUUUCAAGGGAAGGAUGAUAGAGAUUCUGUGACACCCACAUUUGAUCCAAGUGAUUGUCAUGCACAGCGGGCUAAGAUGAAAGAGUUAGCCAAACAAAAAGCAAAACAACUGCAGAAGGAGGAGGAAGAACGGACAAGAGAGCAGAAGGCCAAGGCUCAUGCAAAAUUGGAAGAGUUAAACAAGCGUACACAAGCAGUAGAAGGUUUAGACAAGAAGUUGGAUGAAGUUCAAUUGGAUGGUGCUAUCCAGCUUAAGCAAGGAGAAUCCAGAAAUCUUGUUGCAUCAACAGUAGAUGCUGUUAGAUCUGGAGUACCAACCUCAGAAUCAGUAUCCAAAUCUAAUUCAGUACUACAGAUGGGCGAGAGCAUGAGCACAGCUGGAGAAUCUGUCAUUUUGUCCCAGGAAUUGCCUCCGGGGACAACAAAGAAUGCCCAUGAGGAAGCUGUUGUGACACAUAACCAAUCUUUGCCCUUGCAGCAGGAUCAUAAUAGUACUGACACCGCUAAUGCUAAAACUACUCUGCAAGGCCGAGAUAGCAGUGUCUCCAAGCAGAAACGAAUAAGCUAUAAACAGAAGCAAAAUACUCAUUUGGACAAGAAUUUAACUGAAAUGUCAACUACUACCAAUGCUACUGAAGCUCCAAGAAGUCAUACUGAUACAGCAACCAAUGCAUCUGCAUCUGCAUCUGCUGAGGUGGUUAACCAUGAAAUUUCCUUGAGCAGUGAGUCAAGCUUGCCCAUUAAUCCAAGUGUGAUGGCAGAGUCCACAGUAUAUCAGAGGAGGAAAAAUAAUAGAGGUGGCAAGAACAAGCAAAAGCUGGAGGAGACAUCUUCUAUGACUGCUUCUUCUUUACCUGUUCCAAAAGAGACAACUCUUGCCAAAACUUCUAUGGAAAGCAGUAAACCGGAGACUCCUGAUUCCAAGUUGGAAGCCAGCUCAGUUCAGUCUCUAGUGCGUUCUAAUGAUACAAUGCAGUCUUCAGAGCAGCGCUCUUCUUUACCAGGUGAGGAAACUCAUCUAAGAGUAAAUAACCAGUGGAAGCCUCAGCAUUCCCGCAGGAUGCCACGGAACCCACAAAUUACAAACUCAGGGGAGAAAUUCCAUAGCAAUGAUGCUGUUGUCUGGGCACCUGUCCGUUCACAGAACCAAAGGGAAGUUGCUGUUGAAGUCAACCACAGAAAUGUAGCUGAAACUACUACUAUGUCAGCAAAAAGUGAUAUUUUAGUGCAGAAUAGUCCUAAAAGCAAGAGGGCAGAAAUGGAGAGAUAUGUUCCAAAACCAGUAGCCAAAGAACUGGCUCAGCAAGGAAGUAUUCAACAAACGACAGCUCCAUUUAGGCAGAUUAGAUCAGAUGAGACUAUUAAAGUGGAAUCUGGUUCUCGGAGCAUUGAAAAUACUCAGCCUGCUGGCUUGGUGAUGGGAAAAGUAGGGCAUGGUUUGGAGUCCAGGAGUGGGCAAGGCAGGCAAAAUAAGCAUGCAAAAGCACAUGGAUCGUGGAAACAACGGGUUUCAACAGAAUCAACUCCUGUGGAAGGUUUGCAAGAUGGAUCAUCUUUUACUUCAAAUAUAAGCAAGAAUGUUGAUAUACCCAUUGACCAUCAGACUCUGAAGCCUGAUGUGCACUUACCCAAAGAGCAGCCAAAGUAUGAUGAUGGUUGGAACAUGACUGAUGGCUGGAACAUUACUGAUAAUUCUGAGUCAGCUGCUCCAGGAAAAGUUCCUGCUGUAAAAGAUCUGGGUGCAACGGGCAGAGGAAAGCGACACUCAUUUAAGGGACACAAAGGCUCAGGGAAUGAUUUUGAUCAGAAGAGCAUAAAUGCUGGGGAUGUGGAUAAUACUUUCACCCAGUCUCCAGCCCUUGAGACGAGUCAAGUGGAUAGAGGUGCUGCUUUGAAAGAGAAUCGGGGUGCUUGGGAACGUUCAACAUCUCAUUGGCAACCAAAAUCUCUGCCAAAUUCUACUCACAAUCAACGGGGAAGCAGGUCUUACGGAGGACAGAAUGCUACACAUCAGGUUGGUAAGGCUAUCAAGGAGUCCACUUCCCAGGGUGGGGUGCAUAUUCCUUCACGGCAUGAAAAGGAGACCAAUGAAAAUAUUAGCCAGCCUGACUCCCAUCAAACCAUAUCUGAAGAUAGCAUUGGAGCAGAAGCACCACUGGUGGGGCAUCAGGAUCUUAGGAGAGAGAGGAAAGUAGCUUCACUCAAAGGGCGUCCUCAAUCCCCAAAACAAGGUCCUGUUAGCCCUGUUGAGCCGGUUUCUGCAUCUGUGGAUAAUCGGCACGAGCAGCGGUUGUCAUCAGGGUUCCGGAAGAAUGGAAACCAAAGCAGCCGUUUUGGCAGGGGACAGGAAUCUCGUGUUGAGUGGAGCUCAGCUGGGCAGGAUAACAGGCAGCAUAAUCCAUCUGCAAACCGGGAUAGACACAGGCACGCUUCACACUACGAGUACCAGCCAGUGGGCCCGUACAAUAGUAGCAAAUCGCACAGCUCUGAAGGUCCAACAGAUGGUUCACAUAUUACAGGUUCAAAGUUCAGGGAGAGGGGUCACAGUCACUCGAGGCGUAGUGGUGGGAACUUUUAUGGGCGUCACAGUGGCACCGUUCGAGUGGAUUCUGGUUAUGAUUGACAGAUUAUAAAAGCAGGGUUCUUUAAUUUUCUUGAACACCAUUUCUCCAAUGAAUUGUGGCUUGACGCCCCAUGUUUACAGGGUUAGGAGUCCGAGCUGGAUAUUGACGAGAUGCUGAGAUGUGGUUGGUUUUUUUUUUUUUUUUUUCUUUUUUCCCUAUAUUGUACCUGAUUUGGAAAUCUUAAUUUGGUCACGGCUGGUUCGCUGUGAAACCCUGACAUUUUUUUUUUUAAUGAUGUCUUGUAUUUAGCAACCGCCGUCCCCAUAACCUAACUUGAGGGCACUGGAGUGGGAAUGAGAUACAGGGAAAGUUUUCUGAA